GAAGACAAAUAAGGAAGCAAAUACUAUGAAGAUAACAAGCAGUUUUCUGGCCAUCACAGAGAGGUUAUAUACGCUACUGAAAUGAAUGGCAGAAGCACAUCCUGGGAUGUGGAUGGAAGCCUGGUGCCUCUUGAGUGGCUUCAUUGGCUUCACUGUAUGACUGAAGAUCCUCCUAUAAAAUCACCUAUUGCUAGUAAAUUUAUUUGGACAAGCCAUAAAUUCACUGUGAGUAGCACCCCAGAAUAUGUACUUUAUUCAACCACUAGAAAGAUUCAGAAGAAGGUCCCACCUUCAAAACCUUCAAGUAA
rnacentral:lncRNA from 1 species